rnacentral:misc_RNA from 1 species
GAAAGUGAGAGAUAAAGAGAGCAGAGAUCGACAGUGUCAAAAUCCCUAAACAAUUUCCAGAUCAAACCCUAAUUUCAUCUCUCAUUUCUGCAAUUCCCAUACUUCCCAUUCUCAGAUCCACUUUCUCUCUCCAUUUCUCUAUUGGAAUUGGCGUUUCCCCACCUUUCCUUAUACAUAGGUUUGAUAGGGAGGUAGAUUUUCUUUUUCACUUCCGUUUUUUUGCGGUUUUAUUAGUAUGGCGUGUAUAAAAUCGGUGAAUAGAUCGGCGUCGGUGGCGCUAGCGCCGGAUGCACCGUAUAUGGCAGCGGGGACGAUGGCGGGGGCAGUGGAUCUGCAGCUCGUCCGCUAGUCUCGAGAUCUUCAAGCUUGAUUUCCAAUCGGAUGAUCGUGAUCUUCCUUUGGUUGGCGAGUUUCAAAGCUCCGAGAGAUUUAACCGUCUCGCUUGGGGUAGAAAUGGAUCCGGGUCUGACCAGUAUUCUCUUGGACUCAUUGCGGGUGGGCUUGUUGACGGUAGUAUCGAUAUUUGGAAUCCUCUGAAGCUGAUUCGUUCGGAGACUAGUGAAAGCGCUCUUGUUGGACAUCUAUCAAAUCAUAAAGGGCCUGUUCGUGGUCUUGAAUUUAAUCACUUUUACCCCUAACCUACUUGCAUCUGGUGCCGACGAUGGUGAAAUUUGCAUUUGGGAUUUGGCUGCACCUUCAGAACCUUCUCAUUUCCCUCCUUUAAAGGGUAGUGGUUCUGCUGCACAAGGUGAAAUUUCUUAUGUUUCUUGGAAUAGCAAAGUUCAACAUAUAUUGGCAUCCACAUCCCUCAAUGGAAUAACUGUUGUGUGGGACUUAAAGAAGCAGAAACCAGUGAUAUCUGUUGAAGAUUCAGUUAGAAGGAGGUGUUCUGUCUUACAGUGGCAUCCUGACGUUGCCACUCAGCUUAUUAUUGCGUCUGAUGAUGACAGCUCUCCAGCUUUGCGGCUUUGGGAUAUGCGAAACACAAUGACCCCUGUGAAAGAGUUUGCGGGGCACACUAAAGGUGUAAUUGCAAUGUCAUGGUGUCCAAGUGACAGCUCCUAUUUGCUUACCUGUGCUAAAGAUAAUCGAACUAUUUGCUGGAACACUAUAACUGGAGAGAUUGUCCGUGAAUUGCCUGCUGGUGCGAACUGGAAUUUUGAUGUGCACUGGUAUCCAAAGAUACCAGGGGUGAUCUCAGCCUCAUCUUUUGAUGGAAAGAUUGGCAUUUACAACAUUGAGGGUUGCAGUCGAUACAGUGCUGGUGAGAAUGAUUUUGGAGCAGUCACACUAAGAGCUCCAAAAUGGUAUAAACGCCCAGCUGGGGUGUCUUUUGGCUUUGGAGGGAAGCUUGUUUCAUUUCACCCUAGGUCAUCCUCUGCAAGUGCUUCGGAGGUCCUUUUGCAUAACUUAGUUACAGAGCACAGUUUGGUGAGUCGUUCUUCUGAAUUUGAAGCUGCCAUACAAAAUGGGGAGAAGUCAUCAUUAAAAGCUUUAUGUGAGAAAAAGUCUCAGGAGUCUGAAUCUGAGGAUGAACGUGAAAUUUGGGGCUUCUUGAAGGUUAUGUUUGAAGAAGAUGGGACAGCAAGGACAAAGAUGCUUACCCACCUUGGUUUCAGUGUACCUGUUGAAGAGAAAGAUGUUGUACAGAAUGAUAUCUCCCAACAAAUAGAUUCCAUUCGGCUUGAUGAUACAGCAACAGAUAAAGUGGGAUAUGAGAGUAUCAAAGAGGCCACUGUUUUCUCUGCAGAUGAUGGGGAAGAUUUCUUUAACAAUCUGCCUAGCCCCAAAGCUGAUACACCUAAAUUUACUUCUAUCAAUAACAUUGGCGCUGGACAUUCUGCUUCCUAUGCGGAAGAAAUAAAACAAGAACCAGAUGGACUGGAGGAGAGUGCUGAUCCAACAUUUGAUGAUAGUAUUCAGAGUGCUUUGGUAGUGGGGGACUAUAAGGGUGCUGUUGGACAGUGCAUAUCUGCAAAUAAAAUUGCUGAUGCUUUAGUUAUUGCUCAUGUUGG